AACGUAGGGUGCAAGCGUUGUCCGGAAUUACUGGGUGUAAAGGGAGCGCAGGCGGACCGGCAAGUUGGAAGUGAAAACCAUGGGCUCAACCCAUGAAUUGCUUUCAAAACUGCUGGCCUUGAGUAGUGCAGAGGUAGGUGGAAUUCCCGGUGUAGCGGUGGAAUGCGUAGAUAUCGGGAGGAACACCAGUGGCGAAGGCGACCUACUGGGCACCAGCUGACGCUGAGGCUCGAAAGCAUGGGUAGCAAACAGG
rnacentral:rRNA from 1 species